rnacentral:rRNA from 1 species
AACGAACGCUGGCGGCAUGCCUAAUACAUGCAAGUCGAACGAGACCUUCGGGUCUAGUGGCGCACGGGUGCGUAACGCGUGGGAAUCUGCCCUUGGGUUCGGAAUAACUCGCCGAAAGGCGUGCUAAUACCGGAUGAUGACGUAAGUCCAAAGAUUUAUCGCCCAAGGAUGAGCCCGCGUAGGAUUAGCUUGUUGGUGAGGUAAAAGCUCACCAAGGCGACGAUCCUUAGCUGGUCUGAGAGGAUGGUCAGCCACACUGGGACUGAGACACGGCCCAGACUCCUACGGGAGGCAGCAGUAGGGAAUAUUGGACAAUGGGCGAGAGCCUGAUCCAGCAAUGCCGCGUGAGUGAUGAAGGCCUUAGGGUUGUAAAGCUCUUUUACCCGGGAUGAUAAUGACAGUACCGGGAGAAUAAGCUCCGGCUAACUCCGUGCCAGCAGCCGCGGUAAUACGGAGGGAGCUAGCGUUGUUCGGAAUUACUGGGCGUAAAGCGCAC